GGGAUUGCCUCAGUAACGGCGAGUGAAGCGGCAACAGCUCAAAUUUGAAAUCUGGUCCCUCUGGGGGCCCGAGUUGUAAUUUGCAGAGGAUGCUUCGGGUAAGGCGGUGGUCUAAUUUGCUUGGAACAGCAAGUCGAAGAGGGUGAGAAUCCCGUCUAGGGUCGUCGGCCGCGCCCGUGUGAAGCUCCUUCGACGAGUCGAGUUGUUUGGGAAUGCAGCUCUAAAUGGGUGGUAAAUUUCAUCUAAAGCUAAAUAUGGGCCGGAGACCGAUAGCGCACAAGUAGAGUGAUCGAAAGAUGAAAAGCACUUUGAAAAGAGAGUUAAACAGUAUGUGAAAUUGUUGAAAGGGAAGCGCUUGCAACCAGACUUGUGACUGGCGGUUCCCCCGACCUUCUGGCCGGGUUACUCCGUCACGUCCAGGCCAACAUCGGUUUGGGUGGUCGGUUAAAGGCCCCGGGAAUGUAUCUACCUUCGGGUCGACUUAUAGCCCGGGGUGCAAUGCGGCCCACCCGGACCGAGGAACGCGCUCCGGCUCGGAUGUUGGCGUAAUGGUUGUAAGCGGCCCGUCUUGAAACACGGACCAAGGAGUCUAACAUCUAUGCGAGUGUUCGGGUGUGAAACCCCUACGCGGAAUGAAAGUGAACGGAGGUAAGAACCCCGUCAGGGGCGCAUUAUCGACCGAUCCUGAUGUCUUCGGAUGGAUUUGAGUAAGAGCAUAGCUGUUGGGACCCGAAAGAUGGUGAACUAUGCAUGAAUAGGGUGAAGCCAGAGGAAACUCUGGUGGAGGCUCGCAGCGGUUCUGACGUGCAAAUCGAUCGUCAAAUUUGUGCAUAGGGGCGAAAGACUAAUCGAACCAUUACAGAGGAUAAUUGCUCAACGAUCACCAGGUGGUUCUUAGCAGUCCUUCGGGGCUACAUCGUCCUUCUGGCGGGGAUUCAUCACCCGCAGCAGCCUUGGCUGUCCACAGACUAGGAGACGGUGGUCAUCUUAACCGUCAGAUGAUGAUGAUAUAGUCGGUCACGGUGGGGUCUCUUAACCGUGGAUCAACGCUGGUAGCUGGUUCCUGUCGAAGUUUCCCUCAGGAUAGCAGUAACGUUUUCAGUUUUAUGAGGUAAAGCGAAUGAUUAGAGGCCUUGGGGUUGUAACAACCUUAACCUAUUCUCAAACUUUAAAUAUGUAAGAAGUCCUUGUUGCUUAAUUGAACGUGGACAUUUGAAUGUAUCGUUACUAGUGGGCCAUUUUUGGUAAGCAGAACUGGCGAUGCGGGAUGAACCGAACGUGAGGUUAAGGUGCCGGAAUGCACGCUCAUCAGACACCACAAAAGGUGUCAAUGCAUCCAGACAGCCGGACGGUGGCCAUGGAAGUCGGAAUCCGCUUAGGAGUGUGUAAUAACCAAGGAUUCGGGUGGGUUGGUUGCACACGAACAAUCCUUAUAACCAGGGAUUAGUUGAUCAAUUUAGUGAUGCAAACGAUGGCUCUAUUUGACUGGAAUCUCAUGUGGGAAACCGGUCGCAGAUCUCCGAGACUUUGGAUCUGUCUACAGACUAAAAGGAGCCAACUAUGAUGGAAAUNAUAGUUAAGAUAUAGUCGAUUAGGACCUCCUCGGAGGUCGCUCCAGUAGAACAACUCACCGGCCGAAUGCAUUGGCCCUGAAAAUGGAUGGCGCUUAAGCGUGCUACCUAUACCUCGCCGUUGGGGUUGAAAUGAUGCCCCAACGAGUAGGCAGGCGUGGGGGUUGGUGACGAAGCCUCG
rnacentral:rRNA from 1 species